GCCGGAGUGGCGGAAUUGGUAGACGCAAGGGACUUAAAAUCCCUCGGGUGUUUACACCCGUGCCGGUUCGAGUCCGGCCUCCGGCA
rnacentral:tRNA from 1 species